rnacentral:miRNA from 1 species
GGGGUUCCUGGGGAUGGGAUUUG